rnacentral:snRNA from 1 species
AUGCUCAUCUCUGCAGCAUACAUACUAAAGCUGGAACAAUACAGAGAAGAUUAGCAUGACCCCAUGCACAAGAAUGACAUGCAAACUUGUGAAGCAUCUCAUAUAAAA